GCAUAUGUACUCGAUCACCCUCUGGAUCACUUCGAGCUUUGAUAACUUCCGCUUUCGCGGCAUGUCGGGGACCAACGAACGUAACUUCGUUAGGUAAGCGGCGACUUCUUCUGCUUCCAUAUCUCGUCGGUUGCCGUUCAGGCCCAAACCGUUGUGCAAAACGCCCCGCGUAGGCGGAACUCUACCACCGACCGGACUCACCACCAUCGCCUUCAUUGUUAAUCGGUGAUCUGGAUCGAAUACUUUGCUAGUCGGGGGUGUCGACGCUCGACGGGGUCUCGAGGCUCGUCGGUUAUACGAUGAGGAGAGAAAGGGGAAAUCUUCCGUCGAACGUCCGGCGGCGCCAGCCACUGCACUGGACACCGGGCAUCGCCAACCGGCACAAUGACGACCACUACACACAUCGUAAGCGCAAUCAGGGAACACCAUCGUCGUCAGUCAUCGCGUCCUCGACGAGUUCCGUCCGAACGAACGGAGAGAAUAUUUAUGUAAAGGAAAAAUUGUCAUUCGUCUGGAAAGAGCGAGUCAGGAGUUUGACUCGUUGUUCGGUGCGCCGAUUCCUAAUCUUAUCUCUGGUGUGUGUACACGCUGAACAACAUCCGUAAAAUAAUUACACGGCUUGUCUCUGAG
rnacentral:misc_RNA from 1 species